rnacentral:rRNA from 1 species
GACGAACGCUGGCGGCGUGCUUAACACAUGCAAGUCGAACGGAAAGGCCCUGCUUGCAGGGUACUCGAGUGGCGAACGGGUGAGUAACACGUGGGUGAUCUGCCCUGCACUUCGGGAUAAGCCUGGUAAACUGGGUCUAAUACCGGAUAGGAGCCAUUUUUAGUGUGAUGGUUGGAAAGUUUUUUUCGGUGUAGGAUGAGCUCGCGGCCUAUCAGCUUGUUGGUGGGGUAAUGGCCUACCAAGGCGGCGACGGGGAGCCGGCCUGAGGGGGUGGACGGCCACAGUGGGACUGAGAUACGGCCCAGACUCCUACGGGAGGCAGCAGUGGGGAAUAUUGCACAAUGGGCGCAAGCCUGAUGCAGCGACGCCGCGUGGGGGAUGACGGCCUUCGGGUUGUAAACUCCUUUCGCUAGGGACGAAGCUUUUUGUGACGGUACCUAGAUAAGAAGCACCGGCUAACUACGUG